rnacentral:rRNA from 1 species
AUUGAACGCUGGCGGCAGGCUUAACACAUGCAAGUCGAACGAGUGGCGGACGGGUGAGUAAUGUCUGGGAAACUGCCCGAUGGAGGGGGAUAACUACUGGAAACGGUAGCUAAUACCGCAUACCAUCGGAUGUGCCCAGAUGGGGUUAGCUUGUAGGGGAGGUAACGGCUCACCUAGGCGACGAUCUCUAGCUGGUCUUUGAGGAUGACCAGCCACACUGGAACUGAGAAACGGUCCAGACUCCUGCGGUAGGCAGCAGUGGGGAAUAUUGCACGAGGGGCGCAAGCCUGAUGCAGCCAUGCCGCGUGUAUGAAGAAGGCCUUCGGGUUGUAAAGUACUUUCAGCGGGGAGGCGUUACCCGCAGAAGAAGCACCGGCUAACUCCGUGCCAGCAGCCGCGGUAAUAC